rnacentral:rRNA from 1 species
GAUGAACGCUGGCGGCGUGCCUAAUACAUGCAAGUCGAGCGAACGGACGAGAAGCUUGCUUCUCUGAUGUUAGCGGCGGACGGGUGAGUAACACGUGGAUAACCUACCUAUAAGACUGGGAUAACUUCGGGAAACCGGAGCUAAUACCGGAUAAUAUUUUGAACCGCAUGGUUCAAAAGUAAAAGACGGUCUUGCUGUCACUUAUAGAUGGAUCCGCGCUGCAUUAGCUAGUUGGUAAGGUAACGGCUUACCAAGGCAACGAUGCAUAGCCGACCUGAGAGGGUGAUCGGCCACACUGGAACUGAGACACGGUCCAGACUCCUACGGGAGGCAGCAGUAGGGAAUCUUCCGCAAUGGGCGAAAGCCUGACGGAGCAACGCCGCGUGAGUGAUGAAGGUCUUCGGAUCGUAAAACUCUGUUAUUAGGGAAGAACAAAUGUGUAAGUAACUGUGCACAUCUUGACGGUACCUAAUCAGAAAGCCACGGCUAACUACGUG